rnacentral:rRNA from 1 species
UUGAACGCUGGCGGCAUGCUUUACACAUGCAAGUCGAACGGCAGCGCGGGCUUCGGCCUGGCGGCGAGUGGCGAACGGGUGAGUAAUGCAUCGGAACGUGCCCAGUAGUGGGGGAUAGCCCGGCGAAAGCCGGAUUAAUACCGCAUACGACCUGAGGGUGAAAGCGGGGGACCGAAAGGCCUCGCGCUAUUGGAGCGGCCGAUGUCGGAUUAGCUAGUUGGUGGGGUAAAGGCUUACCAAGGCGACGAUCCGUAGCUGGUCUGAGAGGACGACCAGCCACACUGGGACUGAGACACGGCCCAGACUCCUACGGGAGGCAGCAGUGGGGAAUUUUGGACAAUGGGGGCAACCCUGAUCCAGCCAUGCCGCGUGCGGGAAGAAGGCCUUCGGGUUGUAAACCGCUUUUGUUCGGGAAGAAAUCCUCUGGGCUAAUACCCCAGGGGGAUGACGGUACCGGAAGAAUAAGCACCGGCUAACUACGUG